UCUGGACAUUUCUUUGGAUCCUGUUAAAUCAGGAGCUUGAGUCCAACAACCUACAACUUGAGCCUUUACCUGAAUGCCUGGCUUUGUGUAAGCUAUGUGGUUUUGGAGGUGAGGACGGAGUUUACAAUGCAUGUCGCCAUGCCUUACUGGAGCUCCCACCCCUGAAACCAUGCUGGGGAGGCAUGGGGAGCGGGACUCGGAAUGCAAUCCGUUCUCGAUGCGGGCAAGCCGAGCCCGGCUGUGUUCGUGUGUCCGAGUAUCUUCGUGAUCCGGCUUGCAGAAUGCAAUACAUGUAACAGAGCAGAUCUGGAUCCCAACAUUACCACUAAAUCCACAAUUGCAAACACUUUCCAAAAUCGGGAAGUUCCUCACUGUACUAAAAAGAAUCAAAGAUAUCAGGUUUUCUUGAAGAAAAAUAUUAAUUAUUAGUAUAAGGCUGGGUCUUUGCUCUGGCAAAACUCAGAGUGAAGUUGACAGGGAUUUUGCCAAGGGGUGGUGGCAGAAUCAGGUCUAGCUGACUGUAAGCAUGGUUUCCCAAAAGCCCUGUGACAACUGAGACUGAUAUCACUUGCUAUGGUUACUGAUAAACAAAUGCAGCUACGUGGGCUACUUGAAGGGGCUUUCAAACCAAUUUGCAUGCUGUGCUUGGAAUCCUUUCCUGGCCUCCAGAAAAAUGAGAGUAUUCUCCUAAGCAUCAGGAGCAUCAGGAUCAGUGACUCCUUUUUUCAGUGGGCAAAUGAAGGACUCUCAUGCUUCUCUCCAAGAUCUUUCAAACAGUGGACUCUGGCUGAACCACUGACUCUGCCAAAAGCUGUCCUAUUUCAAAACUGGAGGAGUCAGAACCCAACAUUUCCUUCCUCCCUGUCCCAUGAAUGAAGCUGAAGAUGUCUUCUGCUCCCUCCAGAGACAGCAAACAAGAACCACUCCUUUUGGACUCUGCAGAUCAUAGAAUAAUUUUGAUUGGAAGGGACCUUGGGAGAUCUCUGGUCCUACCACCCUUGCCCAGAGCGGAAUUAACAUCAGUGUUAGAUCAGGUUGCUUAGAUCCAAAUAAGAUACUAAUUAGACUUCUCUGCUUUCUUGUGCACAUGUGCCAUUAUAUGUAGCUGUCCUGGACUCAAAAAGUAGCAUGCCUAAAGAGGUUGCACGGCUAGCCAUCAUGCCAUGAUCUGUUAUCUGCCAUGACACCUGUGCUGUGAUGAGUCUAGCAAAUACGGAUUUUUCGCUCAACAGACUGAUUUUGACUCUAACAGUUGUAUUCUCAUAUAACAUCAUUGUUCAGUUGUGCAAUUCAUGAUUCAAACCAUGCAGUUGUCAGAGGAACAAAUC
rnacentral:lncRNA from 1 species